GUGAACACUCCCACUUCCGCGAGUCCGUGCGCCCCUGAGCUGCACAUUUCCCGGAACCCUCUACAACCAGCUCUUGCUUUGUUCGGUGUGUGCCUCACAAGUACGGCUCUCCCGUGCGAAGCAAACAGUUGGGCCUCUGGAUUGCGAUACCGAGUGGUGGCCUCUUCCUCUUCCUCCGGGGGCAGAGCGUCGGACGCAGGAAGAGCUGCUUGCCAGAUAGAAUGAUGGCGCCAUGAGGGCAGGUACCAGGUCAACACAUCUUGGCAUAGCCAGCAGGAUCAAGAGCAGCUGACCCUGGACCCCAGUGCUGCCAUGGAUAGGUGGUGGGUACCUCCAAGAGACCUUUGUCCUCUGGUGUUUCCAUCGGCAAGCCUUGGAGCUCCAGCAGACCAAUCUUUGGGCAGUUUGAGCUGAGGAGUGAUGACGUCAUGUUUCUUAUUCCCAAGCCUCACAGUGGGAUUGACAAGAGCAGGAAUCGAUGAGGAGGUAGGAAUCUGGAGCAUCUGGAGGGAGGUCUCAGGCCCUUCUUCUUGGACUGAGAGACUCUGCAGGGACGUGUAGCACCAAACAGAAGCAGCCCUGUGGGUGAUUUGUUGGUGUCAGCUCCUUUCCUUCCCUCCAGCUGGAAGACAAGCUCUCAGCCCUGGUGAAGGAAGUAUAAGGAUUUACUUGUUUAGCAAAACAAUCUAGGUCAAGUCAUUUCAAACCUUUUUUUUUUUUUAAACAAAAUCUUUUCUUUCAAUGGACACUUAGAGCUGAUUAUGUAAAACAGGUAACCAUGGGGUGCUCUGGGUUGAUGGUAGUUUGGGGGAUAGUGUGUCCUACCCGUACAACCCCAUCCCCUCCUUGGAGGCCCUUAGGGAUCUUGGUGUAAGCCACAGGGCUUUGAAGAACACAGCUUGAAACCCACGAAUUAAACUGACUCUGGCUAGA